AGCCCGCCGGUGACCGGGUCACGUCACCAUCCUCCCUGUUGGACUUGCCCGGGCCGUCGUGCCCGGGUUUUCUU
rnacentral:ncRNA from 1 species